rnacentral:rRNA from 1 species
CCUACGGGUGGCAGCAGUGGGGAAUAUUGCACAAUGGGCGCAAGCCUGAUGCAGCCAUGCCGCGUGUGUGAAGAAGGCCUUCGGGUUGUAAAGCACUUUCAGCGGGGAGGAAGGCGGUGAGGUUAAUAACCUCAUCGAUUGACGUUACCCGCAGAAGAAGCACCGGCUAACUCCGUGCCAGCAGCCGCGGUAAUACGGAGGGUGCAAGCGUUAAUCGGAAUUACUGGGCGUAAAGCGCACGCAGGCGGUCUGUCAAGUCGGAUGUGAAAUCCCCGGGCUCAACCUGGGAACUGCAUUCGAAACUGGCAGGCUAGAGUCUUGUAGAGGGGGGUAGGAUUCCAGGUGUAGCGGUGAAAUGCGUAGAGAUCUGGAGGAAUACCGGUGGCGAAGGCGGCCCCCUGGACAAAGACUGACGCUCAGGUGCGAAAGCGUGGGGAGCAAACAGGAUUAGAUACCCUAGUAGUC